CAAGGUAUUGCUAGUGUAAUCAUUCCAAGCUCUAAACCUCCAGAGAUCCGACUUACAUUGAAUGUAUCAUAGAAAACCAGUGAAGCACUCAAGUGGAAUAUGCACAUGUGAUUGGGUCUAUACUAGUCAAACUUCCCAGCUGAGAAGAAGUAUCCUGCCUGCUGUUUCAAGGUCUUUGGUGAUUAUCAAUUGAUUGUUACCAAAGGGGUGAACGAGGAACCAAAAUAUAAACGGAGGAAUGAAAAUAUAAACGGAAGGAGGCGAGGAAAGGAGAGGUAAACUAGAAGAACAGUAAAACAGAGAGAAGAAAGUAAAGCAAAGAACAGGAUAAUGAGAUUUCACAAUUGGUUUAUUGAAAGCAAAGCAAACUUGCAUGGAUGAGUGAUAUAGAUACCGACCCAGAUGAAGAUCCAAAGGAAUCAUCUCAAACUAUUAAGGAACAAAGGGAUUUUAAAAGGUUCAAGCUGGCAGCUAUGUUCAACCUAAUAGAGGCACUACCAGUCGGUGACUUUCCCCUAGUUCCUGUCUUACUUUCUGGGACUCAUUGGAAACAGGCUGAACAUAUUUAAAUCUUUCCAUAGAAGGUUUCGUCUAAGUUGCUUCUCCAGUACUGUUUGAACAUUAAAUAUGCAAAUAAUCAUCAUUACACUUCCAACAAUUACACAUGUUUGCGAGCUUUAUGUCAAGUGCUGGCAGCAGUGCAAUCAUUUGUAAAGACAAAUAUUCCAUUUCAAGAGAUGUCAUGCUGCUUAGAAGAUUCCUUUUUGUAUUAGUAGCCACACUGCUGCUUCAGAAAGUGUGCAAAUGAACGUGACAGUGCUGCCAAUAGCCACCAGUUCCUUCCUCUCGGCAGAGCAGAUGUCAAUCAACCAUCCCAAACAGACCAGGCCUCAGUACCGCCGCAGACAUUAAACAUGGAGAACGGAGAGAGAGAGAGAAACAGAGGGAGAGAGGAAGAGUGAACAAGAAGAGAGAGGGAGAGCACGAAAAACACAGGCAACUCUCAGACUCAAUCCCCCCCCCCCCAAUUUCCUCUCCCCCUCCCUCUGCCUCCCUUUCUCUCUGAGGGGGCCUGGGGCCUUUAGAAUAUUUUAAUUUCUGAUUUCUGACUAUAUUAUCAUGUGUUUGUAACAGACGAAUUGUAAUUUGUAGCUCUGAGGUGAUAUGAAAAGCUUUCUGAAGCCAUAGGAUAGCUGUGGGAAAGUGUCAGGUUUAUUUCUUUUUUCUUCCUCUCUCCUCUCUUCUUCC